rnacentral:misc_RNA from 1 species
GGUUUUCUCACUUUCUCUCCCACUAAUUAUUAUCAGGUUUGAAGGUGGAUUUGGUGUUUGUUGGAUAUUGAUUGUUCAUGGUAAAGGGGUUUUUAGGGUCACAGAUGUUGAGGAUGAUGAGCUGAUAAAGUUAGGAUUCUAGACGUUUGGGUAUAAUUAAUUUGCUGUUAUAUGUUGAUUCUUGUGCUGUUGUUGAAAUGGAUGUAAAGGUGUCUUUUUUGGGUUUGAUGGAGUUGGAUCUUUCAUUGGUUUAAUUUUUGGGAGGAGAAUCAAAUUUGGGUAUUGUUUGAAAUCUGCUAAAGGGAGAGACUUUGCUUAAAUUUUGUGAUUUUGAGUGGAUUGUUUAGCUUAUGGGUGUUGCUUGAAAGAAUUGAUUGUUCAGUUGUUUGCCGGUUUUGGGUUUUGGAUUGAUUGGUCAAAAUGGAAGAAGAUGGAAUGGCUUUUGUUGCAGGAAGUGAAAACUUGGAAAGUGGGAUCAAAAUUAAUGCAGAAGAGUCUCAGUGUUUCGAGAUGGAGGUGGAAUCUUGUGAGACUGGAACACUUGGUGUAAGCAAUGAAAGUGUAGUUUUUCCAUCAGAGAAUGGUGAAGGAAGUAAUGGUAACGUGGUUUUUUCCAGAGAAUCUCCGCUUGUACGUAAGGAUUUUAGAUCAUCUGCUGUAGUAGGAGGGUGUAAUUGUGGAGUAAAUAAACUUAAAGCGAGAUUGUCUAGUUCAGAUGGUGAGAAUGGGAAAAAUGAGAUAUCUGGUGCUGAGAAGAAGCUUAAUAGACAAGAGAGGAUCGAAUUAGGGCGAUUGUUUCAGGGUGCCGUGAGUUGCCAUGAUUGGGAGCUUGCCGAGAGUUUGAUUCUACUGGCAGAUCCCCAAACUUUAAAUGAUGCAUUGUGCAUUGCUUUAGAUUCGGUAUGGUUUUUAAGUACACAACAGGAGUUAUAUGGGAUAACAGGGUUGAUUAAGAAGAUAAUUUCUAAUGGUGCUUUUGAUUUCACUCGGGCUGCUCUAAGGACUUCGUUUCUUGCCUCUUGUGUUUCUGCUUGCCAAAGUCGAACCAUGAGCCUCACAGAUACUGUGACUGUAAUGGCACGAAGGUUGCAUGAACGA